rnacentral:rRNA from 1 species
AGGACGAACGCUGGCGGCGUGCUUAACACAUGCAAGUCGAGCGAGGCCCUUCCUUCGGGAAGGUGUCCUAGCGGCGAACGGGUGAGUAACACGUGGGCAACCUGCCCUCAGCUCUGGGAUAACUCCGGGAAACCGGGGCUAAUACCGGAUACGACCUCUAAGGGCAUCCGAAGAGGUGGAAAGUUUUCGGCUGAGGAUGGGCCCGCGGCCUAUCAGCUUGUUGGUGGGGUGACGGCCUACCAAGGCGACGACGGGUAGCCGGCCUGAGAGGGUGACCGGCCACACUGGGACUGAGACACGGCCCAGACUCCUACGGGAGGCAGCAGUGGGAAUAUUGCGCAAUGGGCGAAAGCCUGACGCAGCGACGCCGCGUGAGGGACGAAGGCCUUCGGGUUGUAAACCUCUUCAGCAGGGACGAAGCGAAAGUGACGGUACCUGCAGAAGAAGCACCGGCCAACUACGUGCCAGCAGCCGC